GAAGGGUCUCAACCCGAAACGUCACCCAUUCCUUCUCUCCAGAGAUGCUGCCUGGUAAUGUGGAGAAAACGCACCAGCCAUUCGCCUCGGGGUCCAGGAGGGGAGGAUGCUGUGGUGGUCGCUAGGUGACCACGGUCCAUCGACCAGCCACAUCCCAGUUGUCCAACCGAAGCCACCAGCAAUACAUUGGUUCCAGUGACAAAGCCAGCUAGGACACUACAGCCCGAACGGAAGGUUUCUCCACCUUCCUGCGUCACGAAGGCGCCGCUGACAAGACCAUCCAUCCAAGAUGGCGGUCUGGCUGUUUGCUUCUAGAGACUGUGCCGCUGGGGGAGGGAGUCUGAGGAUUUAGGCCUGCGCUCUUUCCGUUGCACGGACUGGAAACGAGACCUGGCAGAAGGGUAAAGAAAUCCAGGCCCUUCAAACACUGAGCGCCUCUCCUGCUCCCGAGGGAAUCUCCGUGGCUGAGCUGGCCGACCUCGAGGCGGAAGGAACAGAAUCCAGGAGCAAGAGGAGACGGGCCUCCGUGGGUUUGCGAUGGUUCCUUGUGACGACACAGUGCCCUGACAUUGCCCAGUGUUGGGUUUGACAGGGAACCAGAGACGAGAUAAGUACCUGCAUGAUGGUACAAUGUACAAACGGGCAGGUCUGAAGUGAACCACCGGCAAGUGGCCCGAGUAUCUUCCCCUUGCCUUAAAAUUCCCUUGCAGGGCGGCACGGUGGCGCAGCGGUAGAGUUGCUGCCUCACAGCGCCAGGGACCUGAGAUCGAUCCCAACCAGGGAUGCUUGUCUGA